ACCUAGCAAGGGGUAAAGAUCGCCGCUCUCGAGCCUCCGUCUCUCCGUACCGCUAAAACCAACCUCCGGAGUGAGCGACUAGAGAGCUCCGUGAAACCACCAGUCCGGGCGCCAAGAGGGGGGAGGAGACGACCGACGAAUAGAGGUUCGAGCACGAGACUAAACUAAGUGGAGACAAGAACAGUCCCUCUCUCCCUCUCCGCUUCAGCUGCGGUACCGCUAAACCGACGCCAAAGAAGAGCCCAGCAAACUAAGCACUGCGAGGAAGAAAGCACCACCAGCUGUUCGGGACGCAGAGAGGGGGGCAGGGGAUGGACUCCAACAACCAAACGUUCGUGNNNNNNNNNNNNNNNNNNNNNNNNNNNNNNNNNNNNNNNNNNNNNNNNNNNNNNNNNNNNNNNNNNNNNNNNNNNNNNNNNNNNNNNNNNNNNNNNNNNNNNNNNNNNNNNNNNNNNNNNNNNGAAAGUAAAAGGGAAGUAAAAAGACACACUAAACCAUCUAGACCAACUAACAGAGCAACAUAAGCAGAUGAACGUAAACAGCACACACCAUGAAAAACAACGUGUACAUUUAAAUCGCCACCUAGGGAGAACAGAUAAAACUAAAGAAGAAGGCUUACAUCUACAUCAAAAGGACAACUCCGGAAAGUUAAUCGCCACAACUAGGUAACCGCCGACGAUCACACCAUCGAACUACAAACAGACCAGAUCGGACAAAAACUACAUCUACACACCAAUAGAUCACAUUAAAGACUACACCUACAUACCAACGAAGCGAAAAGUGGACAACAAACUAAGACUUGACUUAAAGAAGUCAAUUCAUUAUCCAUAAACCAGACAUGAUGACGUCACAUUAAAACUCACCUAAAGUGACAUUAAUUCAUUGUCGACAAACCGAUGUUAUCUGACGUUAUCACUUACCGGUAACAUUUACAUUACAAGCCAAAUUAAAAUGUCACUAUAGAGAUGACAUCAAAAUCAGAUAUCAUCAGAUAGAAUGUGAACAAAAAGUGACAUUAACCGUUCACAUUUACAUAAUAAAUCCAAAUAAGACCUGACUUAAAGAAGUUAAUUCGUUGUCAACAAACCAGACAUGAUAUCAAUAUAGAGAUAAAUUUAAAGUGACUAUAGAGACACAUUGAAAGUCACAUCUACCACCAUGUAAAUUGACUUAACACACGAAAGUAACAAAAUAUGAAAACAAAUGUACCACCAUGUAAUUGACUUAAAAGGUCAUGUAUCUCUUUUAUUAAAUUACUACUAUCUACAUCCGUACGUUUACAACUUAGAGGAUCAGCCAACUCAGAGGACUACACAUGCACAACCAGACUUUUUUUAAGACAAAAUCAAAGUCACAAAGCCUGACAUUAAAGAUCACAUUAAAGCUCACCUAAAAGUAAUAUCAAAGUAAAAAAUCAGAUCACAUUACAUAAUCGUGUUUACAACAAAAGUCAAGUUUAAAUGUCACUAUAAAAAAUGACAACCAAGUCCAUAUAUCUGAAAAGAGAGUGACAUUAAAACAAAGAACAUUGAAGGUUAGACACAAUUUGACUUGUUCCCGAAUUGGGGUGGUAAUUAAAUGUGAUAUUUAAUCACAUCGAUUGGACAUUAAAAACAUGAAUGUCAGAUACAUGACCUUAAAAGGCCAGAUUGUACGUCACAUUAAUGUGACCUGAAAGUCACAUUAAUUAAACAAAUAAUACACAUUGGUUGGACUUAAAAACAUGAAUGUCAGAUACGUGACUUUAAAAGGUCAGAUUAAACGUUACAUAAGUCACAUUAAUUGGAUAAAAAAUCAAUGUCAGAUACAUGAUUUUAAAACGUCAGAUUUAACGUCACAUUAAUGUGACAUUUAAAUCACAUUAAACGUUACAUUAAUGUGAGUCACAAAUUGGACACACAAUUCACAUUAAUUGGACUUAAAAACAAGAAUGACAGAUACAUGACAUAAAAAGGUUCUAUUUAACGUCACAUUAAGAUGACAUUAAAAAAAUAGUGUAAAUACAGUAUAUUCCGGACACCCGUCCCUGGGGAACAAUAAAUAGGAUUACCGUCACAUUUAACAAGUCUCUUCGGUGUAUCUGCUCAAAGGAAACGUCGUGUAACAUAUAGUCACAACUCAAAAGUAGUUUUUACCCUCCUCCGAACACAUAGUACUAGUAGCUGAGGUAGACAGAUACUAUAUGAACAGUCCAUAGGAGAGAUACAAGUUAAUCUAGUAGAGUGAGACUCAUACACAAUCCUAUCCUAAGGUAGGAGCACUUUACGCGUCGUCUACGUAGUACGUACUCAUGAAGAGAACGUAGUUUAGAUAGACAUGAUCCUUGAAAGAAGAAGAAUCAAGAGAGCUUACUAUCCAGAGUCGAACUAUUUGGUACAUCCCAAAAAGAGAAAAAGUUCGAGUUUGUGUACGUUGGAGCAACAUAGAAGGUAAAAGAAAACCUUGAAGGACUUCUAUGCUUACAACAUCUCGAGCACGUGAACAGAAAGAUUUGACAUAAACCUGGUCUUGAAGAACACCCGUAGGAAAAACAAAGAUCUGUUCACUAGUGUAAGAACGAGGGAGAGUACUUACUGAAGAUAAUCGAACAGUAUGAGAGAAUCCUUCGAACAACGUGACUUAAAUCGGGGGUGAGGGGGAAAACUUAUCACGUAAACAGUAUGAGAGAAGCUCCAUGUCACUGACGGGAAACUACGAUAUAAGGUAACGUAGAUUAAGCUAACGUCCGUGGACGUGAGUUACAAAGGUCUUUCAUAUACAUUACUUCACAACAUCUUAUUUGUUCUCGUAAAGACGACAGGGGUACACAGGGAAAAACGUACAUACGUACAAAUACGUAUACAGCCCACGUUGUUCAUAUAGUCUUUACGUCAUUUCGUACAACGUUCAGUAACCGUUCCUAAAAAACAUGUAAAACAGAAACUUUGGUCUCAAUAAACACAGUUAAGGUCAUCAGAGAAGUAUGUGUUCAAAAACUAAAGAAGAUAAAUACACAUUUAGUCUCGAACAUUAAAUGUUCCAUCCUACGUCUCAUUAAUGUAUCUCUUCCAGUCUCAUUUAACUAGUUUGUUCAGUGUUAUUAAACUAAAGUCAUAUAUCAAAGAAAACAAUCACAGUUGAUCACAGUCAUGAAUUGGACUAACAGGAGCCAGGAAAAACACUAGUAAAAUGAAAGUGACAAUUAAAAGUACCGACUAAUCAGUAACACUUGAUCAUAGUCUAGUAUCAUUAAACUUGAUAUUGAAACAUGUCAUGGUAUCAAAGAUUUUAUAUCAGUACAUAAGUGUAGAAAUAUGACUUUAGAUUAGACGGUACAGAUUUUAUGUCAGUAUCUAAGUGUCUAUAUUCACAGAUUUGUACUAGUUUUCAUAGACUUGUUACAUGUCAAAGAGUCGUGGUUUCAAAGACUUCAAUGUCGUCAUGGUGAGAAAAACAAACUUGUUCAAAAAGGAUUUACCUUAAGUAUCGAAGGACUUGUACGGGGGAGAGUAGGGGUUUGAAAAUAAAACGGGGCACAACACCGAUAUCGACGCUUAAAGUCUCGUGAUUAAAACGUUGAUCAAAAGUCUUACAUCACAAGGUUUCACAAUAAGGACACUGGUAUCUGAUCAUCAAACACACAAGUAUCAGAUCAACAAGGAUCCCAAAGAGGACGAAGUACGAUAGAAAAGACGGACACAAGAUUAGAAACAAGACAAUUCAACACUAGAAGUUGUAUACACUUACUAGGAGUGUCCCUCGAACAAAAAGAAAGUCUACAGUACUCCAUCCUCUCUCUAGAACCUCCUCACUUACGUAUUCUCAAGCCACAAAUGGACACAAAAAAGACGUAGAGGUAGGUCUAAACACAGGGUCUAGUACCUCCUUAAUGGGAGAGACGACCACACAAAUGUAACGUAAAAGAAUCACCUAAAUAUCACAUUAAGGAUGACCUAAAGCUCACAUUAAGAUUCACCUAAAUGUCACAUUAAGAUUCACUUAAAUGUGACAUUAAGGAUGAUAUAAAUUUCACAAAAAGAAUCACUAAAGGCGACAUUAAGAUUCAUCUAAAUGUCACAUUAAGAUCCACCUAAAUGUGACGUCAAGGAUGAUCUAAAUGUCACAAAAAGAAUCACCUAAAGGUAACAUUAAGAUUCAUCUAAAUGUGACGUCAAGGAUGACCUAAAUGUCACAAAAAGAAUCACCUAAAAGUGACUCUACGAAUCACAUUAAAUCAUGUUUAAUAAACCUAACAAUCAUAUAAAAAUCGCCAUAAAUGUUACAUUUAGAAUCACAUUAAAAUCACCUAAAAUGUCACAUUAAAAUCACCUAAAAUGUGACAUUAAGAAUCACCUGUAUUUCUAAAAUGUCACGUAAAAAGUCACCUAUAAUUUGACUUUGAGAAAUAACCUUAAUAAUCACAUUAUAAUCAAGAAAAGGUCACACAUAAAACAGUAAAGUAAAACCAGGAAAGGAGGGAAACAAUCGAAAUCGAAUCACCUGUAUCCUUUCGAACCGAAGUUUCAACCCACAAAAAGAGGAAAAAAGGACGAAAUACAACCCCGACUUUUACGACCCCACACCUGGGCAAUUCUUGUACAACGACCUGACACAUUUUCGCCCUGUUUAUUCUUGUUUGUCCCCUGUGUACUGUCCCCCUGUGAACAGCAGAACAUUGACCACCUUUUUAUACCGACUUUCACUUAACCAAAAGUAGGCCUACAUUUUAUCUGUCAGGGA
rnacentral:rRNA from 1 species